rfam:Schistosoma rodhaini strain Burundi genome assembly, scaffold: SROB_scaffold0003506
GCACUACCGAGGAGUCCCACAAUAGGACGAAACGAAAGUCCAGUGC